UACAGGGGGUGCAAGCGUUAUUCGGAAUUAUUGGGCGUAAAGAGCGUGUAGGCGGUUCAGCAAGUUUGGUGUGAAAUCCCCGGGCUUAAUCCGGGAAGUGCAUUGAAUACUGCUAGACUAGAGUAUAGGAGAGGAUGGCGGAAUUCCUGGUGUAGAGGUGAAAUUCGUAGAUAUCAGGAGGAACAACAGAGGCGAAGGCGGCCAUCUGGACUAUUACUGACGCUAAGGCGCGAAAGUGUGGGGAGCAAACAGG
rnacentral:rRNA from 1 species